AGCGAACGCUGGCGGCAGGCCUAACACAUGCAAGUCGAACGAAGUCUUCGGACUUAGUGGCGGACGGGUGAGUAAUACGUGGGAACGUGCCUUUAGGUUCGGAAUAACUCAGGGAAACUUGUGCUAAUACCGAAUGUGCCCUUCGGGGGAAAGACUUAUCGCCUUUAGAGCGGCCCGCGUCUGAUUAGCUAGUUGGUGAGGUAAAGGCUCACCAAGGCGACGAUCAGUAGCUGGUCUGAGAGGAUGAUCAGCCACAUUGGGACUGAGACACGGCCCAAACUCCUACGGGAGGCAGCAGUGGGGAAUCUUGCGCAAUGGGCGAAAGCCUGACGCAGCCAUGCCGCGUGAAUGAUGAAGGUCUUAGGAUUGUAAAAUUCUCUCACCGGGGACGAUAAUGACGGUACCCGGAGAAGAAGCCCCGGCUAACUUCGUGCCAGCAGCCGCGGUAAGAC
rnacentral:rRNA from 1 species